UGUUCAAAAUUUCAUCCAUUUGUACUGUUAAAAACUGACAGUAUAACCAAAUAAUGACAUGUGGUGUGCCAUAUGCCCCUCAUGUUGAUGUAUAAAGACCAAUUUUUAAUUGUAAAAAUGGAUAAAAUUUUUAGCA
rfam:Gossypium hirsutum cultivar TM-1 chromosome 5, whole genome shotgun sequence